AUUUACCAAAUAAUCCAUUCUUUCUUUCUCCCUUCGUUUUACCUCUUUAAAAAAUGCCAUCAGUCUAUUUCUCAGGGCCUUGAAUAUUUCCAAGCUAUACCUUUGGGAACCACCACCAAGUCUGAGGAACAGGCAGAACAAAGGAAGAACAGCAGGAGGCUUGUAGAGAGAUUAAAAGGCCAGGAUGAAUGACAGUAGGACAGAGGAUAAGAAUGAGAAAGCAUUCUUCAAGUGGGAGGAGAGCUAAUUAAAGAGAGCUGUAACUGACCUGUAUGGUGACUGGAAUAAUAUUCAACAGGGUAACAAGCCUGAUGGUAUCAGCUUUCCUGGCAGCCCAAGGGACACCAAUUCCAGUGCCAAGAUGUCAGAUGUCAUCACUCUUCCAGUCAGCGUUUGAAUCUAAAAUGAUCCUGGAUGCCCUCGCCUUCAU
rnacentral:lncRNA from 1 species